GCGAAAGUAGCUCAAUUAGGUAGAGUAUAAUCUUGCCAAGAUUAUGGUUGCGAGUUCAAAUCUCGUCUUUCGCU
rnacentral:tRNA from 2 species